CAAUAGCGUAUAUUAAAGUUGUUGCGGUUAAAAAGCUCGUAGUUGGAUUUCUGCCGAGGACGACCGGUCCGCCCUCCGGGUGAGCAUCUGGCUCGGCCUAGGCAUCUUCUUGGGGAGCGUAUCUGCACUUCAUUGUGUGGUGCGGUAUCCAAGACUUUUACUUUGAGGAAAUUAGAGUGUUUCAAGCAGGCCCACGCCUUGAAUACAUUAGCAUGGAAUAAUAAGGUAGGACCUCGGUUCUAUUUUGUUGGUUUCUAGAAUUGAGGUAAUGAUUAAUAGGGAUAGUUGGGGGCAUUCGUAUUUAACUGUCAGAGGUGAAAUUCUUGGAUUUGUUAAAGGCGGACUACUGCGAAAGCAUUUGCCAAGGAUGUUUUCAUUGA
rnacentral:rRNA from 1 species